CAAGGCUGAAACUUAAAGGAAUUGGCGGAAGGGCACCACAAGGCGUGGAGCUUGCGGCUUAAUUUGAUUCAACGCAGGGAAACUUACCAGGUCCGUACGUAGGGAGGAUUGACAGAUUGAUAGCUCUUUCUUGAUUCUAUGGGAGGUGGUGCAUGGCCGUUUCUAGUUCGUGGGGUGACCUGUGUGGUUAAUUCCGGUAACGAGCGAGACCUCAGCCUCCGGAGAGAUAUCGACGCGGCUUUCGGGCGGGUUGCCUAGGCGCUCUCGAGAUCCUCCUUAUCACGGAGGGACGCUUGAUGAAGAAUCAAGGGAAGCAUGAGGCUAUAGCAGGUCUGUGAUGCCCUUAGAUGUACUGGGCUGCACGCG
rnacentral:rRNA from 15 species